rnacentral:tRNA from 1 species
AGGGGUAUAGCUCAGUGGUAGAGUGUGUGCUUAGCACGCACGAGGUCCUGAGUUCAAUCCCUAGUACUUCCA